GAUGAACGCUGGCGGCGUGCCUAAUACAUGCAAGUCGAGCGAACAGACGAGGAGCUUGCUCCUCUGACGUUAGCGGCGGACGGGUGAGUAACACGUGGAUAACCUACCUAUAAGACUGGGAUAACUUCGGGAAACCGGAGCUAAUACCGGAUAAUAUGUUGAAUCACAUGGUUCAACAGUGAAAGACGGUCUUGCUGUCACUUAUAGAUGGAUCCGCGCCGCAUUAGCUAGUUGGUAAGGUAACGGCUUACCAAGGCAACGAUGCGUAGCCGACCUGAGAGGGUGAUCGGCCACACUGGAACUGAGACACGGUCCAGACUCCUACGGGAGGCAGCAGUAGGGAAUCUUCCGCAAUGGGCGAAAGCCUGACGGAGCAACGCCGCGUGAGUGAAGAAGGUCUUCGGAUCGUAAAACUCUGUUAUUAGGGAAGAACAAAUGUGUAAGUAACUAUGCACGUCUUGACGGUACCUAAUCAGAAAGCCACGGCUAACUACGUG
rnacentral:rRNA from 1 species